UGACCUUCUGGGAUUUGUAGUAGUCAGGGCCACGCGGCUGGGCGCGCCCUCUAGCAGCAGCCCUGAGUGACCGCAGCGCACGAGCGCGGGAAAAUGAGGCUGCGCGGGCUGAAGAGCGCACCGAGAGGAGCCGCCCCCGCGGUACCGCGCAGCCUCGCGUCCCGUCAGUGGGGAACAAGGUUACAGCCAGAACGUAGCUGUGCAUCAUGUCUUGAAAAUAAACGAGCACAUGUAAUAAAGGCCAGUGAAAUUUCCCCUGGAAGAAAAACUAUCCCUCCCACCCUGCCCCGUUGAGAACCACUGAUGUCGACCAACGAUUGUCCUGAGGGUCAAUGACACCCUUUCAAAGCCAAAAUUAUUUUCAUACUAAUAUGAAGACGUGAUUUGCCCUUUGCACAAUGCUGACAUUUGCACUGAUGGUGGAAAAGCAAUGGUCUUGGAGUUAGGUCAACAGGAGAAGAGUCAAGUGAGGUCACAGAUGAGGUGAAUUACUAGGAACAAGUCAAGAAGCCUCAAAAGAAUCAAGGCGUAAAAUACCAAGUAAAUGUGCAGUCUAGCCAUUAGAAGACCAAAAGGACCAAAAUUUCCACAGGGGGGAAAAAAAAGAAACAAGGCUUGCAAUAAAAUUGUUUAAGAACCUACUGGAGAAUAUAUAUUCCAUCAAAAUCAGGAAGAAACCCAAGAAAGAUGGCAUGGAAUCCAGCAAAGAAGGGAUCCAAUAUAGGAGAAAAACUAAGAGAAUCUCAAAAUGGUGAAGCAAAGUCACAGUAACAUAUGGAGAAGGCCUAGAAGGCAACAAAUCCAGACAGGAAUGUGACAGAGAAUCCAAGAUAGUUAUUUCUGAGGGAUUUUACAAAGGCACUGGAAGAUGUAAGAAAUUAAGCUUUAGGAAUGGCCUUCAUUGGUUGCAAUAGGAAGCGAAAGAGGAGACCUGAAAUCAAAUGAAAAAGCGUAAGCAUCCUGGGGAGAAGCCCACUGGAUCUCAGUUCUGCCCUGCUCAGGAAAGUUCAGUAUCCAGGUGACUGAGAACAGAACCGGCUGGCACCAAAGACAUGAUUUUGAGGGGGCCGGAGCCCUUUCCCUUUGCCUCCAUAC
rnacentral:lncRNA from 1 species